rnacentral:misc_RNA from 1 species
AACGCACCUUGCGCUCCUUGGUAUUCCGAGGAGCAUGCCUGUUUGAGUGUCAUUAAAUUCUCAACCCCGUUCACGUUGUGAUGGGGCUUGGAUGUGGGAGUUUGCGGGUCCUUUAUUGAUAAAGGGUCAGCUCUCCUGAAAUACAUUAGCGGAACCGUUUGCGGUCCCGUCACUAGUGUGAUAAUUAUCUACACUGUGAUGGAUUGCUCUCUGAGGAGUUCAGCUGCUAAUCGUCCACUAGCGGACAAAUGGAUUAAUGAAAUAAUUGACCUCAAAUCAGGUAGGACUACCCGCUGAACUUAA